rnacentral:rRNA from 1 species
UGGGGAAUUUUGGACAAUGGGCGCAAGCCUGAUCCAGCCAUGCCGCGUGCGGGAAGAAGGCCUUCGGGUUGUAAACCGCUUUUGUCAGGGAAGAAAUCCUUUGAGCUAAUACCUCGGGGGGAUGACGGUACCUGAGGAAUAAGCACCGGCUAACUACGUGCCAGCAGCCGCGGUAAUACGUAGGGUGCAAGCGUUAAUCGGAAUUACUGGGCGUAAAGCGUGCGUAGGUGGUGGUUUAAGUCUGCUGUGAAAGCCCUGGGCUCAACCUGGGACCUGCAUUUGUGACUGUAUAGCUAGAGUACGGUAGAGGGGGAUGGAAUUCCGCGUGUAGCAGUGAAAUGCGUAGAUAUGCGGAGGAACACCGAUGGCGAAGGCAAUCCCCUGGACCUGUACUGACGCUCAUGCACGAAAGCGUGGGGAGCAAACA